rnacentral:rRNA from 1 species
AGAAUGAACGCUGGCGGCAUGCCUAACACAUGCAAGUCGAACGAAGUCCUUCGGGGCUUAGUGGCGCACGGGUGCGUAACGCGUGGGAAUCUACCCUUAGGUUCGGAAUAACAGUUGGAAACGACUGCUAAUACCGGAUGAUGACGUAAGUCCAAAGAUUUAUCGCCUAGGGAUGAGCCCGCGUAGGAUUAGCUAGUUGGUGUGGUAAAGGCGCACCAAGGCGACGAUCCUUAGCUGGUCUGAGAGGAUGAUCAGCCACACUGGGACUGAGACACGGCCCAGACUCCUACGGGAGGCAGCAGUGGGGAAUAUUGGACAAUGGGCGAAAGCCUGAUCCAGCAAUGCCGCGUGAGUGAUGAAGGCCUUAGGGUUGUAAAGCUCUUUACCCGGGAUGAUAAUGACAGUACCGGGAGAAUAAGCUCCGGCUAACUCCGUGCCAGCAGCCGC